AACUUAAAGAAGAAGAACAAGAAGAAGAAAACGACGUACACAAAUCCUCUACAUUGUUGUAGCUGCAACUGAAUUUUGUCUUUAUAAAACACAUUUUCACCUAAAACCAGACUAUCUUUCCAGUUAUAUUAACUUAGACAAACGCAAUAACUUGCUCUUAUUAACCACGAUAAGUUACCGCUAACGAUACAUGAUAACAAAAACAUUAGCUAGCCGCUAGCUAGCAUUAGCUGUCAGCAAGCCAACAAGCUAACGUUAGCGUUUAGCUUCUGCAAACAAUUCUGACGUUGCGUGAGUUUAACGACAACGUUCAAAAGCCCGAAAACAAUGUCGGACGAUUAUGAGUUCAGCGAUGACACGACCAUGAUGAGAAUGGAGGAGGAUGGGGAGGCGACCAGCGAUGACCCGAUGGGGUCCGCAGCCGGGGACUGCGCCCUGGUGGGGGGCGAGGCCGAGGGCUCGAGGAUCGACGCCAGUAAAAACGAGGAGGAUGAGGGUAAGAUGUUUGUAGGAGGGCUCAGCUGGGACACGACUAAGAAGGACCUGAAAGAUUAUUUUUCCAAGUACGGGGAGGUUGUAGACUGCACUUUAAAACUGGACCCCAUGACUGGCCGUUCACGGGGUUUUGGCUUUGUGCUCUUCAAAGAACCAGACAGUGUUGACAAGGUUGCCACACAGAAGGAACAUAAACUCAAUGGAAAGGUCAUUGACCCCAAAAAAGCCAAAGCCAUGAAGAGCAAGGAGCCCGUGAAGAAGAUCUUUGUUGGUGGUCUCUCUCCAGACACCCCGGAAGACAAAGUCAGAGAGUACUUCAGUGCCUUCGGAGAGCUGGAGUCAAUUGAACUUCCCAUGGAAAACAAAACCAACAAAAGGAGGGGCUUCUGCUUCAUCACAUUCAAAGAGGAGGACCCAGUUAAGGGCAUCAUGGAGAAAAAGUACCACAAUAUUGGACUAAGCAAGUGUGAAAUAAAAGUGGCAAUGUCCAAGGAGCAGUAUCAGCAGCAGCAGUACUGGGGAGGCAGAGGUGGAUACCCGUCCCGGUCUCGAGGAAGAGGCGGAGGUCCCAAUCAAAAUUGGAACCAGGGUUAUGGCAACUACUGGAAUCAAGGCUAUGGGAAUUAUGGUAAUUAUGGUUACAAUAAUCAAGGCUAUGGAGGAUACGGUGGCUAUGAUUACCCUGGUUACAACAACUAUUAUGGAUACGGUGACUACGGUGAGUACAACGAUUUCCCCCCCCCCCCGCUUGUAGAUGAAUCUGGUGGAUAUGGCAAGUCGCCACGGCGUGGUGGCCACACCAACAGUUACAAGCCGUAUUAACAGAGGAAACUCAUCUUCAAGUAGCGGAGCUUCCUUGCAGGCCAUGAGCUGACUCCCAGAUACUCUCAGGGCCCGCUCAAUGCGGACCGGGUACGAGAAGCAUACGCUCUCGAAUGCUGCCAUUUGGUUUCAGAGUGAUGAAAGACCGCGGCGCUGGUCGAGCGUUGGCCAGAGAGAGGAUGGUACCCGGAAAACAUCACUAGCUGAUUGUAAGAAACUAAUGAAGAGCACUAUGACCUACGCUACCUUUCCUCUAUAUUUACCGGAGUAUGUUGUAUCUCAAAAGUUUUGGUGUUUUGCAUUUAUUAAGAUUGCUGCAAAGUUUUGGGCAGUUUGCGUUCCUAAUCCUCUCUUGUUUUUGUAUUUAAUGUUCUCGAAUGCUAUUUGUGAAUUGCUUUAAUCAUUACAUAACAGAAAUGUUAAGAUUGGUUGGAACAGAUCUCUCUCACACACACACACACACACACACACACACACAUACACAUACAGUAUUGUAGUAGCAAAGAAUGCAAAAAAUGCGUUAUUACAAUUUCCUUUUUAUCGUAGUCAUCAGUUGUAUAAUAUGUUAUUACAGAGUUUGACAGUCAAACAGAAUAUAUAGAUAUAUAGAUAUAUAUAUAUAUAUAUAUAUACAAGCAAUUGGACAUAAAGAAAUACAAUAAAAUAAAAAUAAAGACUCAUUUGCAUAUGUGAUCCAUUGUGAAAUAUUACUAUUACGUCACAUUGACUGCUGGAGUGUUCAAGAAGUAGUUCAGCCAAGUUUCUAACAAUUUAAGCUCUAAUUUACGUCUUGUCAUUUAAUUUACGUCUUGUCUUCAUAAGCUUUAUCGCAGAGCCGCCGGCCAAUAAGCUUACAGUUGUUACAAAAUCAUUUACCCUUUUGAAUUUACAUAAAUAUUUCUUGAAAUACCCGUUUGUUUGAGCUGAAAUGAUCUGAGACUCUCUCACGAGAGCAAUUACACGCUAAAUAACAGAGGUGAGCUUCAUCCACCGUCUUCAUCGCUCUCAGUCCUGAGCUGCUGAAGGAGUUCACAUCGGGGGUUAUUUAUAUAACUUUAGUGGCAAAGAGGAUGAUGAGGAUGACGAUGAUUAGCACAAUCACGCCAAUUAUGAUCAUCAUUUUAAUGUUUUUCCACCAGUAUUUCCUGGCAACCCGUGUGGAUGUUCUCUGGAAAGAGUCAGCCUGAAAAGAAACAAAGGGAGUCUAAAUGUAAUACUCUAAAAA